UACGUAGGGUGCGAGCGUUGUCCGGAAUUACUGGGCGUAAAGGGCUCGUAGGCGGCCAACUAAGUCAGACGUGAAAUCCCUCGGCUUAACCGGGGAACUGCGUCUGAUACUGGAUGGCUGGAGGUUGGGAGAGGGAUGCGGAAUUCCAGGUGUAGCGGUGAAAUGCGUAGAUAUCGGGCGGAACACCAGCGGCGAAGGCGGCAUCCUGGUCCUGUACUGACGCUGAGGCGCGAGAGCGUGGGGAGCGAACUGG
rnacentral:rRNA from 1 species